AAAAACUUCUUCUAAUGGAAUCCAGCUUGAAAGCUACUCAAGAGCAGCUAACUGAGCAAAUAGCAGAAACAGUUCGCCAAGAACAGAACAGUAGAAAAGCCCAGGCAGAGCUGAAGACAGUGACGGAAGGGAUUAUAGCUUCUGAAGAAGAAAAAAAUGAUUACAAAUAUCGCUGGAAAUUCAGUAGGAAAAGGUCUUUGCUUGAGGGAAAAAGAAUGCAUUCUAUUGAAUAAAAACUGUUACAAAACAUCUGUGUCCCAGGCUCCCUUCCAAGGUAGGACACACGGUGGAGUGCUACUGAUGCUGCCACUUUUGUCCUACUUCUUUCCCAGGGGUAAGUCGGGCACCAGUCCACUCUCCCUGUACCCACUUAGGUUUAGGGGGCACAUAGCACAGACUGGUGGGUCCCCCCUCGCGAGGCAUGCGGUAAAAGACGUGAUAUCCUUGAGCCCUCUCCACUUUGGAGAGGGGGAUAGCAGUGUUGUUCAUCUCCCUAAAGAUGUGAAUUUACAACUUUCACCUCUAACCCUUCCUCAUUUCCCUGAUCUGACCCAUGGUCCUAAAGUUAUAAAACACAUUAUUGUCCCCAUAGUAAAUUCUGAACUUCACAUCUUUUAUAUUUUCUUUUCUCCACAGAAUCUUUUAUUAUAUCAUCUGUUACAACUUCAUUGCAAGAGGUAUGAAAGAAGAGGAAAAUUAAGUUGCUAA
rnacentral:lncRNA from 1 species